GUUAAGGGCAGAAGCUGAACAUUCAGAACUGCGGUACUGGGCUUCCGGAAGGGACUUCUGGGGAAGUGGGAGGGUGGAAAUGCUACAGGUUCAUGAAUUAUGCAUCAAGGUAUGAGAGGAGGGGUGAUAAGGCAGAACCAGGGGACUCAAGUAUCUUGCAAAGGCUUUAUUUGAAAAUUUUGAAACUUACAUCCCACAAGAAUUCAAGAUUAUCACCACAAGAAGAAAGAGAUAAUACAAAAAUAUAUAUCACAGCAUAGGAGCCAGGUCCCUUACUGCUUCUGCUUCCAUGAAUGGUCAAGACCAAGAGAAAAGAGAGGGGAACCAGUGGGCACAGGGAGGGAUCCUCUCCACAAUGUUUCCAUUUAUACACAGAACUAAACAGACAAACACAGAAGUUGACAACAUGGGAUGGGGGAGGGACAGGUGGGAAGUAGGAGUGUCAUUAAAAAAAUACAUGCCCCCCCCAAAAAUUGGGUGCCUAGGGGAAGACUUGGUCUGUUUCAACCCAAGAGGAAUCAGAAGCUUAAAAGCAGUUUGGGAACACCAGAACCAUCAGGGAUGGAGGGAGGAGGAAGGUCCUGGAGGUCGAAGGCUAUUUGGCAAAUAGGGUGAAGGGAAUGCCCUACCCCUGCUGGGAUCCCCCCAGCCCCUCCAGUGUGGCAGGAAGGGGGCACCCUGCAACCCCAUAAGGCAGGUCUGGGGCUGCAGGAUGCUCCAGGCAAGGGGCUGGAGGGGACUCACAAAGACUUGCCCUCCAGAGAGAUGAGAGCAUUGCCCACCAGUUUUCAUUUUGUUGUUUUAACAAUAUAAUUUUCUCACAAAUUGAUACAAGCUUAAACAAUAUGUUGUUCAGUCUUACUUUCAAGUUCUAUAAAAAUGAUAUUGCAUUAUAUGUAGUCUUCUGGCACUUUUACUUGUUUUUUUCACUUAAUGUUUCCAAGAUUUAUCCAUAUUGUUGCAUGUAUCUAGAGCAUGUACUGAAAUAAAAUGU